rnacentral:antisense_RNA from 1 species
CUUCACGGACCCCAGCCACACCGGCCGCUCCGGAUCCCGGUCACGGCCGUAGGUCGCCAGCAGCGCCUGCGCCUC